GUCGAGCGGACAGAAGGGAGCUUGCUCCCGGAUGUUAGCGGCGGACGGGUGAGUAACACGGGGUAACCUGCCUGUAAGACUGGGAUAACUCCGGGAAACCGGAGCUAAUACCGGAUAGUUCCUUGAACCGCAUGGUUCAAGGAUGAAAGACGGUUUCGGCUGUCACUUACAGAUGGACCGCGGCGCAUUAGCUAGUUGGUGAGGUAACGGCUCACCAAGGCGACGAUGCGUAGCCGACCUGAGAGGGUGAUCGGCCACACUGGGACUGAGACACGGCCCAGACUCCUACGGGAGGCAGCAGUAGGGAAUCUUCCGCAAUGGACGAAAGUCUGACGGAGCAACGCCGCGUGAGUGAUGAGGUUUUCGGAUCGUAAAGCUCUGUUGUUAGGGAAGAACAAGUGCAAGAGUAACUGCUUGCACCUUGACGGUACCUAACCAGGAAGCCACGGCUAACUACGUGCCAGCAGCCGCGGUAAUCGUAGGUGGCAAGCGUUGUCCGGAAUUAUUGGGCGUAAAGGGCUCGCAGGCGGUUUCUUAAGUCUGAUGUGAAAGCCCCCGGCUCAACCGGGAAGGGUCAUUGGAAACUGGGAAACUUGAGUGCAGAAGAGGAGAGUGGAAUUCCACGUGUAGCGGUGAAAUGCGUAGAGAUGUGGAGGACACCAGUGGCGAAGGCGACUCUCUGGUCUGUAACUGACGCUGAGGAGCGAAGGCGUGGAGCGAACAGGAUUAGAUACCCUGGUAGUCCACGCCGUAAACGAUGAGUGCUAAGUGUAGGGGGUUUCCGCCCCUUAGUGCUGCAGCUAACGCAUUAAGCACUCCGCCUGGGGAGUACGGUCGCAAGACUGAAACUCAAAGGAAUUGACGGGGGCCCGCACAAGCGGUGGAGCAUGUGGUUUAAUUCGAAGCAACGCGAAGAACCUUACCAGGUCUUGACAUCCUCUGACAACCCUAGGAUAAGGCUUUCCCUUCGGGGACAGAGUGACAGGUGGUGCAUGGUUGUCGUCAGCUCGUUCGUGAGAUGUUAGGUUAAGUCCCGCAACGAGCGCAACCCUUGAUCUUAGUUGCCAGCAUUCAGUUGGGCACUCUAAGGUGACUGCCGGUGACAAACCGGAGGAAGGUGGGGAUGACGCAAAUCAUCAUGCCCCUUAUGACCUAGGCUACACACGUGCUACAAUGGACAGAACAAAGGGCUGCGAGACCGCAAGGUUUAGCCAAUCCCACAAAUCUGUUCUCAGUUCGGAUCGCAGUCGCAACUCGACUGCGUGAAGCUGGAAUCGCUAGUAAUCGCGGAUCAGCAUGCCGCGGUGAUACGUUCCCAGGCCUUGUACACACCGCCCGUCACACCACGAGAGUUUGCAACACCCGAAGUCGGUGAGGUAACCUUUAUGGA
rnacentral:rRNA from 1 species